rnacentral:siRNA from 1 species
AAUGCCUUAGAGAACUUCUAGAA